AGUGAACGAGGGAGGGAAGACUAACACAUGCAAGUCGAACGGCAGCACAGUAAGAGCUUGCUCUUACGGGUGGCGAGUGGCGGACGGGUGAGGAAUACAUCGGAAUCUACUUUUUCGUGGGGGAUAACGUAGGGAAACUUACGCUAAUACCGCAUACGACCUACGGGUGAAAGCAGGGGAUCUUCGGACCUUGCGCGAUUGAAUGAGCCGAUGUCGGAUUAGCUAGUUGGCGGGGUAAAGGCCCACCAAGGCGACGAUCCGUAGCUGGUCUGAGAGGAUGAUCAGCCACACUGGAACUGAGACACGGUCCAGACUCCUACGGGAGGCAGCAGUGGGGAAUAUUGGACAAUGGGCGCAAGCCUGAUCCAGCCAUACCGCGUGGGUGAAGAAGGCCUUCGGGUUGUAAAGCCCUUUUGUUGGGAAAGAAAAGCAGCAGGUUAAUACCCCGCUGUUCUGACGGUACCCAAAGAAUAAGCACCGGCUAACUUCGUG
rnacentral:rRNA from 1 species